rnacentral:rRNA from 1 species
UACGAAGGGGGCUAGCGUUGCUCGGAAUUACUGGGCGUAAAGCGCACGUAGGCGGCUUUCUAAGUCGGGGGUGAAAUCCUGGAGCUCAACUCCAGAACUGCCUCGAUACUGGAGAGCUUGAGUCCGGGAGAGGUGAGUGGAACUGCGAGUGUAGAGGUGAAAUUCGUAGAUAUUCGCAAGAACACCAGUGGCGAAGGCGGCUCACUGGCCCGAUACUGACGCUGAGGC